AUGAAACAGAUUAUCUAGACCAGUGGUUCCCAAACUUGGCAACUUUAAGACUUGUGGACUUCAACUCCCAGAUUUUGGUAUAGUUUGGUAUAUUUCGUAGGAAGAGAAUGAAAAAAAAAGGAUUGAUGAUUCUGGCAGGAGUUGGGUGAAAACAAUUUCCCUCCACUUUGAAAAUAGAUGUUGAACACAUUUUGGAAGGGAAACGAUUCUUCCUCACUAACCAUUCCAAAUAAAUCACCACGAGGAAGCAGAAGAAUCGGCCAGGAUGUGUUGGAAUCCUCUAGGAAUGAGUAAACGGUGCUUCACGUUCAUUUAUCAAAUUGGUAACUUCAAGUACAUUUCUUCUCUGAAUUAAGUGAAGUUCAGGGAUGUUCCAAUUAACAGAUGCUCAACUCUUGAACCGAACAGGAUGACAAUUUAUGUACCCACUUGGUAAGCUGAACUAAACCUGUGGAAUUUGCCUUAUGGAUUGGGUGUCAAAACUUUGCAUAUAAUAAAAUAUCAUGCAGUAUA